CUUGUAUUAACACUAUUUCACAAUGAUUAACAUUAAGUUAACACCAUUUCACAAGAAUGUUUUCUGAAGAUACCUCUUAACCAUUUACUAACACCAUUUCACAAGAAUGUUUUCUGAAGAUACCUCUUAACCAUUUACUAACACCAUUUCACAAGAAUGUUUUCUGAAGAUACCUCUUAACCAUUUACUAACACCAUUUCACAAAAAUGUUUUCUGAACAUACCUCUUAACCAUUUACUAACACCAUUUCACAAGAAAGUAUUUAGAUUGUUAUUAUGGAUACACCUAUUGGAUAAAUGUGUAAACUCCUCUCUUGCUGCUGAAAAAUGUGCCUAGUUUUCAGGGCUUGUGGGUGGGUUCUGAGCAGUCAUGGGCUAGAAAUUUUAGCUUGACCUGACAACACUGAGCACAACAAAAAUGACAGAGAAAUGGGACACCGAUACACGGAAAUAAUCCGGGAAAUAUGAACAUAGGAAACCAUACAUUGAAUUGAAUAAACAGAACUUCUACCUGAAUCUUGCAUAUGUUCAUGUGCACUAUAAACACCAUGCCCACUCAGAGCAGGGUAAGAAAUGGUUGGCUAAAUGAAAAUGUAUCAUAGGCCUAUUAAACAUGAAACAGAAAUGUCUACGUGUUGCAAUAAACAGUAAGGGGAUGGAAUGAUGAAAUGCUAGCAAUAAUUGUAGUAUUAGAUAGAAUAUAGAUUUACCACAUAGGGCAUAUGCAUUUAAAUUUGUGAAAGUAACAGCAAACAUUUCAACAUAAUGAGGGGCAACUUACUGGUUUGGUCAGGGCCAGCGUGAAGGAUAAAGUUUAUCCUGUGUCGGUCAGUGUAGCUAUUAACUGAAGUUUGAGCGUCUUAGCAAUACAAUGUGUUCUAUACAGCUGUCAACAUUCUACAAGGAAAGAUUUACAUAAUCAUUAACCAGGUUACCCCGGAUACCAGACUUAGAUGAGUGAUAACUCAUUUCUAGAAUGUUGUCAUUGAUGAGAAUGAAUCAAAACAUCUAUUGACAUAUAUUCACAUUCAGAAAUGUUUGAAUUUAUUAUUUAGACAUCCAGAGACAAAUCUACCAAUACACAGUAUUUACUUUUUAGGAGUGCUCUGUCAUAGAGCAGUAGUUCCCAACCUUUUUCGGUUACUGUACUGUACGACCAACUGAAUUCUGCUCUGCCCAGGGUACCCCCUCAUAUGCAUUUUACCAGUAGGGCUAUGGCCUCAUGAGUCUUCUUAAGUACCCCCUGUGGAUAGGCCAAGUACCUUCAGGGAUCCUAGUACCUCUGGUUGGGAACCACUGUCAUAGAGCUAAAUGCAUUCAUAGUCUUGAUUUGUAUGAUCCUUCCCAUUUGUAUUUUCAAAGUCAGGUGAAAAAAUCCUGUUCAACAGAUGCACUCAGUGGAGCAAAACUGUUUUUGUGGUUUGUGUGGGAAAAAUGUUGAGGCAAUCCCCAACAGCCUGAAGAAACACCUGGUGGGAAUAACAAGGACCUUCUAGUGGAAGUGAACCACAACUAGGCUACUAACUAAGCACUAUGUAGGCAAGCCUCACUCACUGGACAAUGAGUUGACUCACUCCAUUUUCAUAGAACACAGAAUAACACCUAAGAAUGCUGAGCUGGAAAAUCAUAUAUCAUUAUGUGGAUGGGACAUUCCUGCUGGGAUGGAGGAUUUAUCUGGAAUGCUUAACUAGAUGAUCAGGACAGUCAAGGGUACUAUUUGUCCAAAAGAGGUGAAGUCUUGCAAUGAGCUAUACGACUGUACUUAUGAUAAAAAUUCUCAAGAGCAAAGUUAAAACACUCUGAGCCGUAAAAUCACCAAGGAGGAGCAACAGUGGUUGAGGAAUCAUCUGAAAGGGACUGACGUGUCUAACUGACGUCACAGGUAAUUUGAUUAGUCAUGUACAACAGAUGCAUUCGUGGAACAAAACCGUUUCUGUGGUUUGUAUGGGAAAAACAUUGAGCCCACAAGAUGCACCUCAGUGAGAACAUUCUGGAACUGUGCCAUGGUGGAGGUGCCUGUGUAGCAGUGUGAUGUUGUUCCCCUAGAUUAUGCACCAAGUUGCACACAAGGACCAAUUCAAAUAGGCCAGGUCAAGAGGGGAUGUUAAUCAUUUGAUAAUAAUAAAAAUAAUUCUGUGUGUUUUUUUAUAUUUAAUUACAGCUGCAUAGCUAAUGUUAUUUUUUGGUGUACAAACAGUUUUUCAUAUCAAUAUUGUACAUACAAGUGAUUGUAAAAGUUUUGUAUAUUUUGGUUUGGCCCAUCGAGGGUUAUCUGUAUUUCCGUACCUCCUUAUUGUUCUCUUUUGCCUGACCUUCGGCUUAGCGAGGUAUGUUGUCCUUGGCUCCGCUAUUGUUCAAUAUAAAACCGUGGUAAUGUUACACAAUGUGCUGUUACGCUACCAUACGUUUGUUACAAUGUGGAAAAUAUAAAGAUUUAUGGUAACAAGUUUCACCGAGCUCGCUAACUAGGGUACCUAUUGUAACUUGUGAGUACUUGGGACAGUGUUUGAGUGAGUGUCCAUGUGCUUGCGCAGGUGCCUGAGAGCUGUGACUGCGCCAAGGGCUAAAAUAUUGUGUGUUGUUUCUUCGUGUGCAGGGCAAAUAAAAAUAAUCCAACCAACAGACCUCCAGUUGUGGCAGUGUCCUCAUUAAAAGAAUCCAACCAACAGACCUCCAGUUGUGGCAGUGUCCUCAUUAAAAGAAUCCAACCAGCAGACCUCCAGUUGUGGCAGUGUCCUCAUUAAAAGAAUCCAACCAACAGACCUCCAGUUGUGGCAGUGUCCUCAUUAAAAGAAUCCAACCAGCAGACCUCCAGUUGUGGCAGUGUCCUCAUUAAAAUAAUCCAACCAGCAGACCUCCAGUUGUGGCAGUGUCCUAAUUAAAAGAAUCCAACCAGCAGACCUCCAGUUGUGGCAGUGUCCUAAUUAAAAGAAUCCAACCAGCAGACCUCCAGGUGUGGCAGUGUCCUAAUUAAAAGAAUCCAACCAGCAGACCUCCAGUUGUGGCAGUGUCCUCAUUAAAAUAAUCCAACCAGCAGACCUCCAGUUGUGGCAGUGUCCUCAUUAAAAUAAUCCAACCAGCAGACUUCCAGUUGUGGCAGUGUCCUCAUUAAAAGUACACAACUCAGAAUGAACCAUGCUACACCUGGAAGUUCAAUGUUUUCAUUGAACUCCUAAUAAGAAGUAAGUAGAGCUGGAUGGAUAGGACACAGAGUUGUAUAGAGUACAUCUAAAGAUGGGAGAGCCAUCAUUUCCAACAGAUAUCCUUGCCGGGGGUGGCUUUGAACAUCAUGCAAUGCUUCUCAUGGAGGGAGCCUGAAGAUGUUCCGUGUGUCACGCCUCAUGUGUUCUCAGUCAACUUACCUGGUAAAAUAAGGGGGAAAAAAAAUACAAAAAUCAAAUGUCUAAAACGGGAAAAAAGGGAGACAAAUCUCAAAAUCUACAAAUUCAAUGUUUUACACAAUAAUGUUUCUCAUUUGAUGAGUUACUGAUCUGUCCUUCCACAUGCUCAAUCUGCUGUAGACUACAACUGGACUCUUGCGCUCGGAUCAUACUGGCACACAAUGUCCAUGUACCAGAUGGCUUGAGGGAUGCUCUCCUGUUGGGCUGGAAAACAAAGACAUUUGGUCAGUGGUCGGUCUUUUUUAAUGCUUUUUCACCAUCUUUAUUUUUACAGAAAAUGCAUUGUUUAUCAUAACACAAACACACCUUGGACAACGUGACAAGUGGUCCCUCAACACCCGACCCUAAAUCAUGAGAACCAUACACAAACAUACUGAACAGCUAUAUCCACAAAUUCAUAAAUAUUUAAUUAGCUAACUAGUUAACGUUAGCUCACAAUUUGUAUUGUUUUCCACAUGGUGACAUGUAGUUAGCCCACCAGAGCAUGGAUAUUUAACAUUAGCUAGCUAGCUACGUUAGCACAUCGUUCAUGUAGUCAGACUUUUCCCCAGACCCUAAGUUUUGUUUUAACAUGCUAGCUAGUCCACCAGGGCAGGGAUAUUUAAUGUUAGCUAGCGCUAAUUGCUCAAGUUUG
rnacentral:lncRNA from 1 species